GACUGUUCAGCCAACAUUGUUUCAGUAUGCCAUUCCCUACACUAUACGCCAAUUCUUCACAGAAUUUUGGGCAAUGCUGAAUCAGAGAUUUAGUUAGUGAUGGUUUUCAUGACAGUUCAUGAUCACAAAUCCACGUCAAUAAUAGAAAGUUGUUCCAGUUAGAACAUGACUACGACCUUCCGUAAUGGUCCAACGGUUUCGACCUCCAAAGCUGUCCCAACAAAGCAUUUCGGCCGCACCUUUGACAGGGCCUACCGCAGCAGUAGUUCACACUCUCACUGCACUCUUAAAGCGAGUAAGCAGCAAUUCACCGUAAACCACUCCAGCCCUCACUUCGAUAGGUGGUACUUCAUGAACAACUUAAGAGAGCAAUCGUUGAAGUGCUACCAACUUGAUUAAAUCUAAUCGAAACGAAGAAAAAAUAAGCAAAACCGCAAGCAAGGCUCCCAACAAUCAUCAAGCGACCGCAAAAUGAAAUAAUAAAACAAAGGAGACUACCGUCUGUCAGAGAUGGGCCUCUCCAAUACAUUAGAGAUAUGCUUCUCCGAGGGCUCUGCUGUUCUACGAAGUGUUUGUGAGAUGAGGAACAACAGUUUUGAUGGGGAAAUGUUUUUCGAUUUCGGCCUGAACCCUUGCUUCGCCAUGUACUGAUAACACACGCGAAACUCGGAAAGCAGGUGAACCCAUUUCAACCCAGUGAUGCCAAAUGACGACGACGAUGUGGUGGUGAGCAGAGGAUUAUUUUCACCGAAAAAACUCAAGAAAACAAGCACAGGUGGUGCCAACCGUGCGGCAUGAAAAACGAGGCAGCAGAAUUGCCAAUUGCGUGUGCGGUGACGAACGAAACCGAGAUCCGCACGGACAAAACACAACAAUCCGACUACCGAGACGAGCGCCGUCGACGUAUUUGCCAAACUAAUGGGCCCGACGACGAUGGUUAUUCUUCUGCUGCCAGGCGGAGUGAGUGAACCCCGGUCGUCCAACAACGACGACGACGACGACGGCAGCUGUCUUGCUUACUUGCGUUUCCUCACGUCUUCCACUCUCUAGACCACCCCGUCCCUCUGGCUACCAGCACCACCCUCCGGCCGAAAACCCAGAGAAACAACACCCGGUAGACUCAACUCUAACAAGGCAACGAAGGAGUGAAUGGUGUUGGUACACGAAACAACCGCACGCCGGGACAGAGUGACGACUGUCAUUUGAGUGCCCUGGUACUCUGUGGAUUGUUCCAGCAUUAGCAGCGAGCAACAACAGCAACAACGUUCGGCGAAGACCGAAAAAAGAAAGGAGAAACACGUAGUCUCUUGUAGAUAUACAAACUAUACGUAGGGCAGAAGUUCCCAAACUUUUCGAGAUUUGUUAACUUUAGGUCAUGUCGCGGCCAACGGCUUUAACUUCCUUUCAGAAAUAUAACAAUUUACAUAGAACUGGUUUAUUAAUCCAGAACAAUCCUAUGAGUAAACAGGUGUACUUCUGAUCAUUGUUAUUAUCAGAAACUAAUUCAGGCAUUUGCCCAAAGAUUUCUUCCGGCAUAACUUUACGCAUUAUGCAAAGGAAUACAUCCAGCUGCUUCUUCACGGUUCAGAUUUUCUCACAGGAUUUUUCAAGAACAAAGCUAGAAAUUGAUCUACAAAUUACUCCAGAGAUAUCUCCAGGAAAUUAUAAGAGAUUCCUUAUGAAUUUCUCCAAAGAAGCUUCUAAAAGUUUGUCGAGAUUUUUUAACUUAUAAUACUUAUAAUACCUCCAGACAUGUAGAUAUGUAUAUAUUUUUCAAGGGUUUGACGUUAAGUACGUCUCGGAAAUUACGGUCGGAAAUUUAUACAACAUUUUACUCAAAUGGAGAAAUCUAUUAAUUUUUGACGAUAAACUUUUGAAAAUUGGGUGUUAUUCGAGUCUAACAGUUAAAUUGGCCCUUUUCAUGAAUAAUUGACAACUUCUCAGCUUCUUCCACAAUUAUUAACUUAGAGCUUUCUUCGCCCAUGGAUUGACCAUUUUAGCAUGUGUAGGGUAACGUAUAUAACUUGGACAUGCAUAUAAUUUGGACAGGCUAGUCGUUGUAUGCUCAUUUCCUAUGAGAUGGUGAGGAAUAUAUGUACGGGAAAUCAUGUAUUGCAUUAUUAA
rnacentral:lncRNA from 1 species